rnacentral:rRNA from 1 species
AAGCUGCAACUGACAUUGAGGCUCGAAAGUGUGGGUAUCAAACAGGAUUAGAUACCCUGGUAGUCCACACGGUAAACGAUGAAUACUCGCUGUUUGCGAUAUACUGCAAGCGGUCAAGCGAAAGCGUUAAGUAUUCCACCUGGGGAGUACGCCGGCAACGGUGAAACUCAAAGGAAUUGACGGGGGCCCGCACAAGCGGAGGAACAUGUGGUUUAAUUUGAUGAUACGCGAGGAACCUUACCCGGGCUUAAAUUGCAGAUGAAUUACGGUGAAAGCCGUAAGCCGCAAGGCAUCUGUGAAGGUGCUGCAUGGUUGUCGUCAGCUCGUGCCGUGAGGUGUCGGCUUAAGUGCCAUAACGAGCGCAACCCUUGUUGUCAGUUAUUAACAGGUUUCGCUGAGGACUCUGACAAGAAUGCCAUCGUAAGAUGUGAGGAAGGUGGGGAUGAUGUCAAAUCAGCAUGGCCCUUACGUCCGGGGCUACACACGUGUUACAAUGGGGGGUACAGAGGUCCGCUACCACGCGAUUGGAUGCCAAUCCCAAAAACCUCUCUCAGUUAGGAGUGGAGUCUGCAACCCGACUCCAUGAAGCUGGAUUCGCUAGUAAUCGCGCAUCAGCCAGGGAGCGGUGAAUACGUUCCCGGGCCUUGUACACACCGCCCGUCAAGCCAUGGGAUCCGGGGGUACCUGAAGUGCGUAACCGCGAGGAGCGCCCUAGGGUAAAACUGGUGACUGG